rnacentral:tRNA from 1 species
CCUGGAGGCUGUGGCUCAGUGGAAGAGCCUCUGCUCUGCAUGCAGAAGGUCCCAGGUUCAGUCCUGACACCUGAAGUGGCAGGA